rnacentral:lncRNA from 1 species
ACUAGAUCAGGUUGCCCAGGGCCCCGUCCAACCUGGUCUUGAACACCUCCAAGGACGGGGCAUCCACAACCUCCCUGCGCAGCCUGUUCCAGGCUUUCUGUCAGCUCUUUACCUGCUUUAACACCGGUCUUUGUCUUUGCAGGUGGGCACCUCCUCGGUGGUGUACCCCGCCGCCAUGUUCGCCCCGCAGGUGUCGUCCCGCGGGGUGCCGGUGGCAGAAUUCAACACGGAAGCCACUCCCGCUACAGACAGGUUCAGGUAACGCUGCUCUGCAGUCUGACCCCCUCCAUCCUCCUCGUCCUGUUCUCCUGCCGCUCGCAGCCCUUCACACACUUUCUCCUUCCAGGUUCCACUUCCAGGGCCCAUGUGGAAGCACGCUGCCGCCUGCCUUAGCCCGCCACGAGUCCGAGAUCAUCGCCUGAGGCGGGGCGGGGGCGGUGGGGCGGGGCGGGGCGGCGGGCCCCGAUCGUGCCAAUAAAGCGUGUGGAGCGGCAGCCCCUGUGUCGUGGUCUGACUGCCGGCAACGGGAUAAAGGUAGAGCGGAAGGAAGUCCGAGGAACGACUUCGGAAGUCGGCGGAGCUUUUCCGGGUCGCGCUGAGACGCGUUGCGGAGCGUGGCCAUGGUGCGGCGGCUCAGACGGCAGAAGGGGAAGGCGGCCCCCGUCGGCCCGUCCGCCGCUUCGCCCUCCUCGGAGGAUGAGGAGCCCCCCGAGGAGCUGUCGUUCGGCACGGCCAGGGCGGAGGCCGAGGCCGAGAGGAAGCUCGUGGGGGAGGCGGCGCGGAGGUACGGGCUGCCCUGUCCCCUUUCCCACCCCCCCGUCACACAGCGCUCCGCUCACGGCGGAUCCCCCCCCAUCGCUCCGCAGGCACCGGGAGCUGCUGAAGGAGAAGCGGCGGCGGCGGCAGGAGCUGUUCACGGAGCAGAAGAGAAGGAAGCUGCUGCCCGAGGCCCUGCUGCAGGAGCUGGCCGCAGCCCCGCCUGCACGGUGAGGGGAGGGCGGGGAGACACGGGCGGCUUGUCUGGGGCCCUUGGCUGCACGAAGCCGGAGUGUGCUGAGUGUGGCAGUAACGUGUUUUCCCCUUCCCUCGUAGAGCAGAUGAGCCGAGCCCCCCUGCUGCACCAGGUACUUUGGAUGUUCUGUUUCCACAGCUCACAGUUAGCAGAGAAUGAAGGUGGGAUUAGACCUUCCCUUUCCAGCAGCGCGUGGCUUUUCUAUUGCACUGAUUGUUCUUUUUUGGCCUGUACGGAAUCCCAUCUAUUUGGGACUGAUGGCAGGGAACAGGAAAGCACUGUAGCUUUUAGGCUGCCUUUUUCAGCAGCUCUCUGAGGGCACCGCUGCUGGGUUUUACCAAUCAGAGCAGCUGAAAAGUGCCUCCUGGCUGCUUGUUCACAGCUUGUGUUGCUUCACAGAAUCACAGAAUCACAGAAUCACAGAAUCACAAAAUGACCCAGGUUGGAAGGGACCUCAAGGAUCAUGUAGUUCCAACCCCCCUGCCUAGCAGGGCCACCAAACAUACACAUU